CGUGAGGAGUCUUUCUUGAUUGUUUUCUAUGUUAUCUGUGGAAACAGGGCGUCUGACUGAACCCAGAGCUCUGGCUGGCCACCUUCCUUGUGGAAUCACAUAUAUCUUCCUCUGCUUCCUACGUGCUGGGAAUACAGAGAAGCUGCCAGGCCCACUGGGUCUUUCAUGGGUUCUAGAUCUAAGCUCUGGUCCUUACGUUUGCAUGGCAAGGGCUUUAUCUCCCGAGCACCCUCUUCAGCCCUUACCUGUGCCUUCAAACUGAGUUUAUAUGAACAUCGAGAUCACAUUGAGCUUUAAACGAAGAUGGAUGGCCGGCCCGACUGAUUCUCUGCUGAGAAUAUGACCCUGGAUGUGUGCAUACCCAGUCAGGUGUGCCCAGAGUAAAGCAAGCUGUGGGUGCAGAGAAAAAUUGCUCCCUGAUUAGUUUACUGUAAUCACCUGGAGCUGUCCCAGCCUCGCCAGCAUCUGUCUCACCUGCAGAAUUGCUCUCCCUGCCCAGUGAGUCUAUCUCCCAGCUGAAUGUGAAGGUCUUCACUUGGAAAGUUUGGACCCUGUGCGAGGCACGUGAGACAUAGGUCUUUCCCACCGGCAGCAACCAGGGCUCCACGAGGGCUCCCCCUGUCCCCUCUCUUUUUGCAGUCUGCAAGGCCCAUUGCUUGCCUAGCGUGUCUGAAACAUGACGACUAUUUCAUGGGGUUCAGUUUCCUGGAAGUGGGGGGAACAGUCAUCCAUGUGGUUCAUCCGGAGCAUUGAGUACCGGCCAACCCGCCAGCCUCUGUGGUCAGCCUCCUCUCCUGGGAAGCAGAGGAAAGAAAGAGGCUUGUUCUCUUUUUUAUUUCCCCGAAGAGUGCAUCUCAAAAGCACUGGGAGAAACUGCUGGGAAGGAGCGUCAUUGCUCACUCGAGAUGCUGAGCAGAGCCU